rnacentral:lncRNA from 1 species
AACUUUAUACUGCCUAAAUCUCGUGUGCUGAUUUUACUUAGGUACAAUGUUAAGGACAACCAACAACAUUCAGCACAUGAAGAAACAAGUUUUGGAGCCCAUGCAACAAGUUUGAAGAGAACAAGUUUCAACUCUGAAGAAAGCCUUGUUUUGGUGACAAGGACGACUAGUUACACCGCAAGGAAGAAUAUCAAGCCAUCUCAACACUCUAUUGUUGCAUGUGUAGUUCCAGAAUUCGUCCUAGAACUUGCUGAAUCAUGCAACGCAAAUAUAUGAGCAUCCAGCAUGUGUGGGAGUACAAAAUGGAGAGCAUAUGAAGUCUACUUUCAGGAAAAUCAAACGUUGCAUCAUUUGGAGUCCUGAGUCAAAGAAUAUGAGAGUUCCAAUGCAAGCUGUCCAGGGCAUUAAUUGUUGCGCGAGGCUCCAUGAGUUUGCUCCCUUGACCAGCUGGUUAGCACGAAUUUGAACCCCUCUUUUGGCCUGGUUUCACACCUACACUAGGAGGGUUGUUCGUAGUAUAAAUACCCCUUCCCCCACUUCAGCCACAACUCUUUGGCAAUUUGAUUUCAGUAUAGGUUAGCUAAGUGCAACCAGAAUAUUGUUUGAGAGUUCACUUCCUCCUUAGCUCUUGUAAUCUUGCCUUGUGAGAGGGUAAACUCACUUUGUGAUUUUACAACAGGAGCCGUUGAGGCGGCGACCAGUUCGUGCUUCCAACUUCGUGCGUGGUUGCGUGGAUUGGAACUAAGAGUGUGGUUGGGCAAAUACUUGUCGCUGGUUGUUGCAUUUGCAAUAGUUAGCUUUGGUCUCGUCAGGUUGCACUAGUUAUCCUUUACCUGACAGCGUUGUUGGUUGGGAUCGAGGGUUUCCUUCGUACCCUUCAGGUGGCGUUGAUUCGCAACAUAGAGGAGAUCCUCCGUGAAGAUUGGGCAACCCCGUAUCAUCUUGGCAUCAUAGCUUCGGUUGACAUGGUAGGAUCUUGUAUCCCUAGUUUAGUUCUUGUUCUUGUUCAUCCUGAAAGUCCAGAAAAAUAGCCCCACAAAAAAAUCCCUUUACUUAGCCCUUUGCAGCCUUUAAUCUGUUAUUUGGUGAGUUUUAUCAAGUUCUUGUCCACUAGAUCUUUGUUUUUAGUUGUUGAGUUUCCCCCAUCCAAUCUUGUGUGUUUGUGUUCAUUUUCAUGCACAGAUUUCAGAUCUGCAUCCUCCACCAAAUCAUGCAUAUCUUUGUCAUCCGGAGUCCGUUUUGAGUGUUUUUGUGCAUUUGAAAAGCCCACAAUGUGUGCACUCCAUUCAUCCUUGUUAGAUCUGAUUCCCAUCGUGUUUUCCACCCAGUAAAAUCAGAUUAGUUCAUGUGUGUUUGCUGCCAAAGUUUCAGCUGCAUGUUCUUGUUGGUUGACUUCAUCUAUUGUGAUUUUCGUGAUUCCCCCAAAGUGUAACAUCCCAAAUUAUCAAUUUGGAAUGUUAUACAUUAGAUCAUCAUUGCAUAUCAUAUUUUAUUUUGCUUUUGGUUGAUCCUAGAAAUUCUACGCAACUCAAUGACCCACGGAGAGAGUUGGGGAUUUCGUUAUUUUCAUAUUUGAGUUUUCUCAAAUUUUGAGAAUAGGAUCAUUUGAUUUUAUUUAUUUUAUCAUCAAUUAUUUCUAUUACAAAAAUAUGAGAGAGGGAAUAAAAUGACUUUCCCAAAAUAAAGAAAUAUUGAGGAUUUAAUAAUAAAAUCAAAUAAGAUUUUAUUUCGGAGUUUUUCGGUGUUUUAUUUGAAUUUAGGAAAAAUGUGCGUUUUUCAAAAUUGCAUUUGCGUCCCAAAUAAAUGUUCACCUUGUGCGGCUUGAUUUUAGAAGCCCGUGAAAAUUUAUUUCGGAAUUUUUGGAGUCCGUUUAGUAUUUCUUUUUAUUUCUCUUCCGAGCGGAAUAAUUAAAAAAACGAACCGACCUACGGGCCGUGUCCGACUAGGACUCCGGCCCGAGGGGGGGCCUUUAUAAGCCGGGGCAGCCCACCCGGGGAAACCCUAGCCCUGCCGCCGCCCUAGCCGCCGCCCCAGCCGCCGCCCCGCGCCACCGUCGUCGGACGCCGCCGCCGCCGAGGUUCGCCGCCGCCUCGACUUCCGUGCCAACGUUUUUAUAAAAAAUCGGUUUUCGUCGGGUUUUUUAGAUUCGGUUUUUUUAAUAGAUCGGUUUUUCCGGUUUAUUUAAAUAGCGAGCGUUCGUCCGUUCGUUCAUUCUAGUGAGCGUUCGUCGUUUUUUUUCUCGGAUUAAAUCCGCAAUUUUUCUGAUCGCGAUUCCUGAUCCGAUUUUCGUUUUAGUAUAACUUUUCGCUCGUUUAUCGGAAUCAGGCGAUUCAAGCGCCUAGAGAUUCGUCUCGAAACCCUCUAUCCAUUUAACCAGCUUAAACGAGAUUUUGCUACUGUAAAAUUUGCCCUAGGUCUAGAUUACUAGAAUGAAGUUGUUUUCUUUCGCCGUUUGACUUUCGUUGCUUCGUUCGAUUUGAUUCUUUUUGCCAACCGGAGUUCUUAAGAUGAACCUUCUAGUUAGAUCUCUUAUUUGAGUUUUACCUGUGCAUUAGAUGAGUACUUAUUGUAUGCUUGUUUGUUUGUCUGCGAUAGAAUACCCGGAGUGCACUGCCUGUUACAUCGAAUCGUCAGGUUUCGCGGAUCAUCAGCAAGGCAAGUAACACUUUGAUCAUACAUUUCUACUACCCAGUUUUAUUGCGUUAGAUCAAUCCUCACACAUUGCAUGAUUAGGAUCUAAUUAAAUUAUGGGAUGGGAAGUAGAUGAGGUAGUACCUAUUACCUGUUAUUAUCAAACCUUUGGGAGUUGCUUCUACGUUUGCUUAUUAUGCCAUGCUAUGCUAGUAGACAUGGAUUGGGUGUGUGAUACCCAUGACAGAUGUGAGUUUUGUUAAUUAAUGGUUUAUCUAAGGUGGCAACUUAAACACACAUCUGGGUGGAUUGAGGCACCUGGGUAUUCCAGGACUUGCCUGUUUUCUUUUGGACCGCCAUCCAGGCUCAAAGGGAUCAUGAGACUAUUCAUACUAGAAACUUCCGUGUGCAGCCACAAGAUAUUAUGGGCUCUAGCAUAGUUGACUAAGUUGUGCGAACUCUUACAAUGGUAGACUAGCAGAUGUAGGGGAUGUAGGUGGUACGGUCUACCCGAUCGUAAGGUGCUAGCGCUUCUGAAAGACUAUGUCUCGGUCAUCCAUCUUCUCAAACACCUUGUAGUGCGAGAAACCAAACGGAGGCGAUCGAGUCUUGUGGGGAAAAGUGUGCAAACCUCUGCAGAGUGUAAUAAACUAAUCAUGGUUAGCCGUGUCCCCGGUUAUGGACAUCUUGAGUAUCUAGUACUUGGAUUAUCAUGUGAAUCUCAACAUGUUACUCUAAAUUAAUUUUGUUGGGUUAUGUUUAAUGAUGAUGCUUAAUUGGGAUUGAGAAUGCUGUUAACCAUUCUCAAUAUUUAACAACUACCAUGAUAGUAAAAUAAAUUUAUUCCUUUGAAGUAGGGAAAAAUUGGCUUUACGCAAAACUGUAACCAUAGAGCUUUCCACCAGCCAAAUAUGCAUAUAGUAUAUCUAUUUCAUUCCAUUACUCUUUAUGUGUUACCUUGCCAGCAUAUUCCAUGGGCUGACCCGUUUUGGGCUGCAACGUUAAUGUUGCAGACUUUUCAGACGACGAUUAAGGAGUUUUUAGGUCGUGGUUCUAUACUCAGUGAUGCCGUUGGAGUUGAUGGACUCACUUAUCUUCCAAGCAUUCCGCUCUUAUCGUUAUUAGAUGGCCUUAAGCCAUAUUCAUUGUAAUAAGUUCUCUUUUGAGACACUUGAUGUAAUAAGUGUGUGAUUGCUACUCUGCUAUAAAUCCUCCGAGUACUGUGUGGUGUCAGCAUUACUAAUCCAGGGAUGACACUGGAGCACAGAGAUCAUACCAUUUGAGGUCUGGUCGCUACAGAGAUGGUAUCAGAGCACACGCUGACUGUAGGACACGACCACUAAGUUAGAGACCUAGAUCACUAUUCACUCUCUUCUCUUCUGACCUCUUCUCUUUUCUACUCUUUAGGAUGGCGGAUGUAAGGAACAAGUUCACACAACCGGAUGAAGAUACACCCUUUGGACGACACUUGAAGGAAGUCACUAGAUACCUGAAGAUAGGAGUACCAAGCUUCACGGGAACCUACAACGCCACUUUACCUGAAGAAGAGCGCUGGAUGAUUCAUGUUCAAGUUCCAGGAAGGACGUUCAUGCCAGUCACUGAGCCCAUAGAGUUUUCUUUUGAUGCACCAACUUGGAGUCUAGGAAAGAGCAUGGCAGCUCACAUCGCCAUGGGACGCAUUGGAGAAGUCUACCGCAAGGAUCUCAAGGAUACUAUCUACCAGAUUUGUGGGCGCCAAGAUGAGCACUGGGAGAUGAUCAGCACCAGGAAGGAUAGAUCAAUCGCAGCUUUUAACUAGGAGCUAAACCAGCACAUUCGACGACAGGAGAACCAGAUGUGCGCCGACAUGAUAGAUCUGAAGAAGGCUAAGACUAGAAUCAAGGAACUGGAGGAAGAACUCAAGGCUACACGUGAAGAUUAUGAAGAGGAAAUUGAAGUAUUGGUGGAGAAGAAUGACGACCUGAUCAAGAAGAUUGGAAUAUUUAUGGGAGACCCUACGCCAGUAGAUGAAGACGAAGAACCCAAGAAAUUAGCCCGGAAGACUACAUCAUCAUCGACGGCACUGACUCGGAACCAGAUAGUAGCGAUGAUGACUAUAUUGAUGAAGCUGGAGCAGAUAUCAUGGAGUCUACAACCGAAGAAUAUUUCUAGUAGACCACCUCAUUAGUAGUAGUAGUCCACCAUGUAAAUACAGUAGUCCGAGCACUUUUGCGAUAAUUAGAUCGAUUGUAUGCCCUUGUUUGAUUGAUUGAAGUGAAUUGUUUGUUUUUGCCUCAUGUGCAUACGGGUAGUGUUUUCUCUUUAGACCCCUCUAUUCUUAUAUCUCAUCUUUUCUAAACCCUCAGAUGCCUCCGAGACGUGACCCCGGAUUUACCUUUCCACCGGAGCGCACCCAGUUGAUCCAGCAGCAGAACACAUUGAUGCAGUUGCUAGUCCAGAAUCAGAAUCAGGGGAACAACAACAACAACCCACCACCACCACCUGUUGACCACUUAGCCCGUUUUCUUAGGCUGAAUCCGCCGGUGUUUUCCAGUAGCAUCGAGCCGAUAGUAGCAGAUGAUUGGUUCCGCAAGACAGCUAGGGAGUUGACCACAGCAGGAUGCACAAAUGCAGAGAAGGUGAAGUUUGCCGCACAUCAGCUAGAAGGACCCGCAGCAUCAUGGUGGGAGAAUUUCACAGCCACUUUCCCUGUCGACACUGUCACAUGGGACCAGUUUCAGCAGGCUUUUCAUACUGCACAUGUUUCAGCAGGAGCUAUGGCCAUGAAGAAGCGUGAGUUUCGCAACUUGCGCCAAGGAGGAAGGACAGUUGGCUAGUAUGUGGAGGACUUUAGUAAGCUAGCACAUUAUGCCCCAGAUGACGUCGCUACGGAUGCAGCUAAGCAGGAGAAGUUUCUGGAAGGACUGAAUGAUGAGUUGAGCAUGCAGUUGAUGGUAGCAACCUUCAACAACUACCAGUAGUUGGUAGAUCGUGCUCUUAUGAUUGAAGGGAAGCAAUAACAGAUUAAGAAGCGCAAGAGGAAGUAUGGACAAGGAAAGUACAAUUCAGGAGCUCAGCAGAAGCCACGUUUUACCCCUAGACCGGGAGGACAUUUUCAGCAUACCCAUGGAGGAGGUAGCUCACACAAUCACAAUGGCACCAAGAAUGGAAAUGGCAAUGGAGGAAGCAACGGCCAGGAUUGCACCAACCCCUCAACCCCAGCCGAGAAGGACCUGAGCCAAGUCACUUGUUUUAAGUGUUAGAAGACCGGACAUUAUGCCAAUGAAUGUCCUGAAGGCCAAAAUGGCAAUGGAAGUUCUGGAAAGAAGCCGAACCCAUUCAACAGGGGACAGGUGAACCACGUUAGCGUGGAGGAGGUUGAAGCUCAGCCCGAUGCAGUAAUAGGUAAGUUUUUGGUUAAGUCAUUUACUGCACUCAUUCUUUUUGAUACUGGUGCAUCGCAUUCAUACAUCUCAAGGGGAUUUGUGGAUAAGUAUAACCUACCAACCCAAGCCCUUAGGUCACCCAUGUUAGUAACCUCGCCCGGAGCAGAGUAUGUGGCUAGUCUAUGGUGUGAUCAGUUACCAUUAAGGAUUGGUAACUAUGUUUUUCCCUCAGACCUAAUAGUAUUGGAAUCUCAAGGAUUGGAUGUGAUAUUAGGCAUGGAUUGGUUAUCAAAGUAUGAAGGGAAUAUUGAGUGUGCUAGCAAGUCAAUUUUGCUUACCACCCCAGAAGGGAGAAGGAUCAAGUAUGUAUCCCAACAUGUGCCAAAGAGGACUCAAGUAAAUUGCUUAACAGGAGUUGUGCAGGAGGAAGUACUAGUGGUAAGGGAUUUCCCUGAUGUAUUUCCAGAGGAGUUGCCAGGCAUGCCACCGGAUAGAGAUAUUGAGUUUUUGAUUGAGCUAUUUCCAGGCACAGGUCCAAUAUCAAAUAGACCAUAUAGGAUGCCAGCAAAGGAUUUGGUGGAAAUUAAGAAGCAGAUUAAGGAGUUACUGGAUGAGGGAUAUAUUCGCCCAAGUUCUUCGCCUUGGGGAUCGCCGGUACUACUAGUGGAGAAGAAGGAUGGAUCGUUAAGGAUGGUUGUUGAUUAUCGAGGAUUGAAUGAAGUAACGAUCAAGAACAAGUACCCACUACCAAUGAUCAAUGAUCUGUUUGAUCGAUUGCAAGGAGCUAAGGUAUUUUCCAAGAUCGAUCUGCGAUCAGGAUACCACCAGUUGAAGAUUCGAGAACAGGAUAUUCCGAAGACAGCUUUUACUACCAGGUAUGGGUUGUAUGAGUAUACCGUUAUGUCAUUUGGUCGGACUAACGCACCUGCCUAUUUUAUGAACAUGAUGAACAAAGUGUUUAUGGAGUUUUUGGAUAAGUUCUUCAUAGUGUUCAUUGAUGAUAUCCUGGUUUAUUCGAAGAAUGAAGAGGAGCAUAAGGAGCAUUUGCGUUUGGUACUUGGAAAGCUCAGAGAACAUCAAUUAUAUGCCAAGUUCAGCAAAUGUGAGUUUUGGUUGAAGGAAGUAGGAUUCCUCGGACAUGUUAUAUCUGGAGAAGGUAUAGCAGUAGAUCCCGCUAAAGUUGAAACCAUGACCAAGUGGGAAGCCCCAACAACAGUUGGAGAGAUCCGGAGUUUUCUUGGACUCGCAGGAUACUACCAGAGAUUUAUUGAGAAUUUCUCAAAGAUUGCAAAGCCUAUGACUGAGUUGUUAAAGAAGUAUACCAAGUUUAUAUGGACAGAGGAAUGUGAGGCUAGUUUCCAGGAGUUGAAGAAACGCUUGGUUACCUCACCAGUGUUGAUGUUGCCAGACCAGACCAAGGAUUAUGAGGUGUAUUGCGACGCUUCAUGUCGAGGACUUGGAGCAGUGCUUAUGCAGGAAGGGAGAGUUGUUUCAUAUGCCUCAAGACAACUGAAGCCUCAUGAGUUGAAUUAUGCUAUGCAUGAUUUGGAGUUAGCAGCCGUAGUGCCUGCUUUGAAAACAUGGAGACAUUUUCUCAUUGGUAAUCAUUGUGAGGUGUACACAGAUCAUAAGAGUUUGAAGUACAUUUUCACCCAGAAUGAGUUGAAUCUCAGACAAAUGAGAUGGUUGGAGCUUAUCAAGGAUUAUGAUAUGAAAUUGCAUUAUCACCCUGGAAAGGCUAAUGUAGUAGCUGACGCAUUAAGCCAUAAGAGCCAUGUCAAUACGUUAAUGACGGGAGAAAUACCCAAGGAGUUAGCGGAUAAUCUUCGUGAACUAUGUGUGGAAAUAGUUCCGAGAGGCUAUGUAGCAGCAUUGGAGAUUCAGUCAACUUUGAUGGAUAGAAUCAGAGAAGCUCAGAAAACUAACAAAGAGAUUACCGCUAUAAAGGAGAAACUUAGCAAAGGAAAAGCUAAAGGAUUUCGUGAGGAUGAGCACGACACCCUAUGGUUUGAAGACCGCGUUUACGUGCCCAAUGACCCGGAGAUCAGGAAGUUGAUACUGCAAGAGGCACAUGACUCACCGUAUUCAAUUCACCCAAGAAAUACCAAGAUGUAUUUGGAUCUGAAGGAUAUUUUCUGGUGGACCGGAAUGAAGAAGGAUAUUGUGGAGUAUGUAGCAGUUUGUGAUGUAUGUCAGAGAGUAAAGGCAGAGCAUCAGAAGCCAGCAGGAUUGUUACAACCAUUGCCAAUACCCGAAUGGAAGUGGGAUAAGCUAGGCAUGGAUUUUAUCACGGGAUUGCCCAGGACUCGUUCAGGCUAUGACUCGAUUUGGGUUGUAGUCGAUCGAUUGACGAAAGUAGCUCAUUUCAUCCCAGUAAAGACCACUUACACUAGUGCUAAGUUGGCAAAGAUAUACAUGACCAGGAUCGUAUGUUUGCAUGGAGUUCCAAGGAGUAUCGUAUCAGAUAGAGGAACCCAGUUUACCUCAAAGUUCUGGAAGCAGUUGCACGAAACUUUGGGAACCAGGCUAGAAUUCAGUACAACUUUUCAUCCACAGACAGAUGGACAGACCGAGAGAGUCAAUCAGAUUUUGGAGGAUAUGCUGAGAGCUUGUGCGCUAGAUUAUGGAUCUAGUUGGGACGAUAAUUUGCCAUAUGCAGAGUUCUCUUACAACAACAGUUACCAAACCAGUUUGAAGAUGGCCUCUUUCGAAGCUUUGUACGGAAGGAGGUGCAGGACACCGUUGUCGUGGGACGAAGUUGGAGACUGCCAGUUGUUUGGUCCUGACUUGAUUAAAGAGUCUGAACAUAAGGUGAAGUUGAUUCGCGAUAGGCUCAAGGUAGCCCAGUCCAAACAGAAAAGUUAUGCCGAUUCUAAACGUAAGGAGACAGUUUACGAAGUUGGAGAUAGAGCUUAUCUUCGAGUAUCUCCACAUUGGGGAACAAAGCAUUUUGGAGUUAAAGGGAAGUUAGCACCACGAUUUGUAGGACCAUAUCGAGUUUUGGAACGUAUGGGAGAAGUGGCCUACAAGUUGGAAUUGCCCGAAGGAUUGUCAGGAGUUCAUGAUGUGUUCCACGUUUCUCAGUUAAAGAAAUGUCACGCGGAGAUGGCUGACAUACCCUUGAGAGACACAGUGCCAUUAGAAACUAUUUAGUUGGAUAACGAUUUGACCUACGAGGAGAAACCAAUUAAGAUCCUUGAGUUUGCCAGCCGAGUUACCAGCAGCAAGGUUAUCAAGUUUUGCAAAGUUCAGUGGAGCCACCACUCAGAGGAUGAAGGCACCUGGGAGCGAGAGGAAGAUUUGCUCAAAGACCACCCUCACCUAUUUUCUAGCCAACCCGAAUCUCGAGGGCGAGAUUCAUCUUAAGGGGGGUAGGUUUGUAACAUCCCAAAUUUUCAAUUUGGAAUGUUAUACAUUAGAUCAUCAUUGCAUAUCAUAUUUUAUUUUGCUUUUGGUUGAUCCUAGAAAUUCUACGCAACUCAAUGACCCACGGAGAGAGUUGGGGAUUUCGUUAUUUUCAUAUUUGAGUUUUCUCAAAUUUUGAGAAUAGGAUCAUUUGAUUUUAUUUAUUUCAUCAUCAAUUAUUUCUAUUACAAAAAUAUGAGAGAGGGAAUAAAAUGACUUUCCCAAAAUAAAGAAAUAUUGAGGAUUUAAUAAUAAAAUCAAAUAAGAUUUUAUUUCGGAGUUUUUCGGUGUUUUAUUUGAAUUUAGGAAAAAUGUGCGUUUUUCAAAUUGCAUUUAGGUCCCAAAUAAAUGUUCACCUUGUGCGGCUUGAUUUUAGAAGCCCGUGAAAAUUUAUUUUGGAAUUUUUGGAGUCCGUUUAGUAUUUAUUUUUAUUUUUCUUCCGAGCGGAAUAAUUAUUAAAAAAACUAACCGACCUACGGGCCGUGUCCGACUAGGACUCCGGCCCGAGGGGGGGCCUUUAUCAGCCGGGGCAGCCCACCCGGGGAAACCCUAGCCCAGCCGCCGCCCCAGCCGCCACGCCACCCCGCGCCGCCGUUGCCGGCCGCCGCCGCCGAGGUUCGCCGCCGCCUCGAUUUCCGUGCCAACGUUUUUAUAAAAAAAAUCGGUUUUCAUCGGUUUUCUUAGAUUCGGUUUUUUUAAAUAUAUCAGUUUUUCCGGUUUAUUUAAAUAGCGAGCGUUCGUCCAUUCGUUCGUUCUAGCGAGCGUUCGUCGUUUUUUUUUCUCGGAUUAAAUCAGCGAUUUUUCUCAACGCGAUUCCUGAUCCGAUUUUCGUUUUAGUAUAACUUUUCACUCGUUUAUCGGAAUCAGGUGAUUCAAGCGCCUAGAGAUUCGUCUCGAAACCCUCUAUCCAUUUAACCAACUUAAACAAGAUUUUGCUACUGUAAAAUUUGCCCUAGAUCCUGAUUACUAGAACGAAGUUGUUUUCUUUCACCAUUUGACUUUCGUUGCUUCGUUCGAUUUGAUUCUUUUUGCCAACCGGAGUUCUUAAGAUGAACCUUCUAGUUAGAUCUCUUAUUUGAGUUUUACCUGUGCAUUAGAUGAGUACUUAUUGUAUGCUUGUUUGUUUGUCUGCGAUAGAAUACCCGGAGUGCGCUGCCUGUUACUUCGAAUCGUUAGGUUUCACGGAUCAUCAGCAAGGCAAGUAACACUUUGAUCAUACCUUUCUACUACCCAGUUUUAUUGCAUUAGAUCAAUCCUCACACAUUGCAUGAUUAGGAUCUAAUUAAAUUGUGGGAUGGGAAGUAGAUGAGGUAGUACCUAUUACCUGUUAUUAUCAAACCUUUGGGAGUUGCUUCUACGUUUGCUUAUUAUGCCAUGCUAUGCUAGUAGACGUGGAUUGGGUGAGUGAUACCCAUGACAGAUGUGAGUUUUGUUAAUUAAUGGUUUAUCUAAGGUGGUAACUUAAACACAUAUCUGGGUGAAUUGAGGCACCUGGGUAUUCCAGGACUUGCCUGUUUUCUUUUGGACCGCCAACCAGGCUCAAAGGGAUCAUGAGACUAUUCAUACUAGAAACUUCCGUCUGCAGGCACAAGCUAUUAUGGGCUCUAGCAUAGUUGACUAAGUUGUGCGAACUCUUAUAGUGGUAGACUAGCAGAUGUAGGGGAUGUAGGUGGUAUGGUCUACCCGAUCGUAAGGUGCUAGCGCUUCUGAAAGACUAUGUCUCGGUCAUCCAUCUUCUCAAACACCUUGUAGUGCGAGAAACCAAACGGAGGCGAUCGAGUCUUGUGGGGAAAAGUGCGCAAACCUCUGCAGAGUGUAAUAAACUAAUCAUGGUUAGCCGUGUCCCCGGUUAUGGACAUCUUGAGUAUCUAGUACUUGGAUUAUCAUGUGAAUCUCAACAUGUUACUCUAAAUUAAUUUUGUUGGGUUAUGUUUAAUGAUGAUGCUUAAUUGGGAUUGAGAAUGCUAUCAACCAUUCUCAAUAUUUAACAACUACCAUGAUAGUAAAAUAAAUUUAUUCCUUUGAAGUGGGGAAAAAUUGGCUUUACGCAAAACUGUAACCAUAGAGCUUUCCACCAGCCAAAUAUGCAUAUAGUAUAUCUAUUUCAUUCCAUUACUCUCUAUGUGUUACCUUGCCAGCAUAUUCCAUGGGCUGACCCGUUUCGGGCUGCAACAUUAAUGUUGCAGACUUUUCAGACGAUGAUUAAGGAGUUUUUAGGUCAUGGUUCUAUACUCAGUGAUGCCGUUGGAGUUGAUGGACUCACUUAUCUUCCAAGCCUUCCGCUGUUAUCGUUAUUAGAUGGCCUUAAGCCAUAUUUAUUGUAAUAAGUUCUCUUUUGAGACACUCGAUGUAAUAAGUGUGUGAUUGCUACUCUGCUAUAAAUCCUCCAAGUACUGUGUGGUGUCAGCAUUACUGAUCUAGGGAUGACACCGGAGCACAGAGAUCAGACCGUUUGAGGUCUGGUCGCUACACAAAGUGUGUGUUCAGAUCCAAGUCCCUUGUUGAAAGUUUGUCAAAAAAAAGAGAAAAAAAAGAGGAAAAGAGGCAAAAAAAGAGAUCUUCCCAAAGAAAGAAAGUGUGUGCAAGAAGAAAAAGAGAGAAAACUUGGGACUGUUCUUCACUUGUAUCUUGAGAAAUCUAUGUUUGCAUUGUGAGCUAAAACGUGUCAAGUGUGCAAAGUCUUCAAUCCUUGCUUGCAGCAAAUCUGAUUCCUUGGUGAGAGUUGCAUGUACCUCACGUAUAUCUCAUUCAGCAACUAAAUGCAUUAGAAUCUUGUGUGGAUGAUUACUUGGUUCAACAUUAUCUAGAUUGCAAAUUAGUGCAUCUUUUGCUACAUAUAUACCCCACCCAAACUCCACCAAACAGCCCCACAUGUGCAACCCUAGACUUGUAUUCGCUUGAUUAUCACUCUUUGUAUACCAACCACCGACACCACGGUUGAGCAUGAUUCUGCUCUCACUUGGAAGUUACAUGAGCUUCGGUUGGUAAGUGAGGUGAGCUUGAGUUGUUAUCCACAUAUGUGCUUCUAGUACUAUAGGGCUUUUGGAGAACUAACCAAGGUAGGUGAAGAAAACGAGUAUGAUUUUGAAGGAAAUGGGCAUCUCAAUCAGCCGGUCACACAGUUUCACUUCAACGCAUUACGUGAUCAUCUACACCGAGAGUUCAGAAACAUCCUUGACCCAAUUGAAGAGAAGCAAGACAAGUUGUCGAGAGAUUUGCAGCAACUUAUGGGUAAUGUUUAUGAGCAACUCACUCAGAACAUGGCAGCCAUGAGGACUGGUAUUGUUGCUGAUAUUGUGCGAGAGCUUCGUCAGAACCGAGAAGAUGCAAGUGUCCAUGGUGAAGAACGAAAUGUAACUGAUGGGGAAGGUGCUGCCUCCAAUGCACAAGCUAGAAUAAACCGUGCUCCUGCUCCCCAUGCCAUGAGACCUCCCAGUCCCGGACGUGGAAAUGAUCAUGGUAAUGGACGUGGUCAUCAUGAAGCUGCUGCUAGUCGUGGUCUUAGAGGAGGCCACCGAAGAGCAAAUCUGCACCAUGAAGGAAGUGGAGAUGAGUUUGAUGAAGAUGAAGAUGGCAUGCACCAGAAUGACAUAUUUCAUCAUCGUAGAAACUAUGGUCGUGGACGGCACGAGGAGGAGAGGUUUGGAAAGCUGAAAUUUACCAUGCCCAAGUUUGAUGGUGGAUCUGAUCCAGAAAGUUAUCUCACAUGGGAAUUGAAGGUUGACAAGAUUUUCUGCAUGCACAACUACUCAAAAGAGAAGAAAUUAGCAAUGGCCUCACUUGAGUUUGAAGACUAUGCUCUAAUUUGGUGGGAGCAAGUUCAGAUUCAGCGAGAAGAAGAAGGAGACCCUACUGUUGCUACAUGGACAGAAAUGAAAAGAGAGAUGAGGGCAAGAUUUGUCCCAAGGCAUUAGAGACGUGACAUCUUUGAUAAGCUCCAGAAUUUGAGGCAAGGAAAGUUAUCAGUUGAGGAGUAUGAUAAGGAGAUGGAGAAGGCAAUGAUAAGAGCCAACAUACAUGAAGAUGAGGAGUACUCCAUGGCAAGGUUCCUCUAUGGGCUGAAUCCUAAUGUUAAACAAGUGCUUGAUUUGCAGCCAUAUCGUAAUGUGGUAGAGCUGGUACAUCUUGCUUCUAAGGCUGAACGUCAAUUGCAAGAAGACUCGAAGCAAAAUAGAACUACAUCCUUCACAGCUCGAGCUGCAUCAAGUGGGAGUAAGUUUGUACCUCUCAAUGUUGGUCGAGGUAUUAUGACUAGUUCUGGUGGUGGAAAUCAGCCCCAUGCACGUGCAACCACGAGCAGAAAUGAUGCAUCAAAUUCGAAGGAGAAGAGCAAAUUUGCAGCUCCUAGUUCAUCCUCCAUUGGCUCCAUGGGGAAAACUAGUGAGAUAGAGUGCUUUACAUGUAAGGGACGUGGCCACAUGAAGAAGGAUUGUCCCAACAAGCGUACCAUGCUGAUCAUCGAGAAUGGAGAAUAUGAGUCUUGUAGUGAACCUAAAGAAGAAACUGAAGAUGGUGAUGAGCAAACCUAUUGUGAUUAUGAGCAAGGUGCCUCUCUUGUUGUCACUAAAGUUUUGAGUGUGCAGAUCAAAGAAGCUGAGAAUGGACAACGACACAAUCUGUUUCAAACAAGAGCCAAAGUGCAAGACAAGGUAUGCAAGGUAAUUGUUGAUGGUGGGAGUUGUCACAAUCUUGCAAGCAAAGAAAUGUGUGAUAAGCUUGGGCAGAAGCUGCUACAACACCCUCAUCCAUAUCAUAUACAAUGGUUGAGUGAAUGUGGAGAGAUUAAGAUCACACACAUGGUACAGGUGCAAUUCAAGAUUGGAGAUUAUAAUGACACCGUUGAGUGUGGUGUGGUGCCAAUGAAGGUGUGUCACUUGCUGUUGGGCAGACCGUGGCAAUAUGAUCAUUAAGCUCAACAUUGUGGUAGAACCAAUCGAUACCCCAUCAAGUGGAGAGGAAAAGACUUGGUGCUUAGACCCAUGACACCCCAAUAAAUCAUGGCUGAGCACUUGCAGAAAGUUUCUGAAUUAAAAAUAGUGAGUAAGAAAGAGGAAGAGAAAAAGAGUGAGAGAGAGAUCCACAAAUCGGUGAGUGAGCGCCACAAGCCAAAUCUGAGAGAGAAGAAUAAAAGAGAGGGAGAGAACUUAUUAAUAUUAGCCACCAAAUCAGAACUGAGAGAUGUGAGGCUCAACCCAAAUCAAGUGGUCGUUUUCCUUGUGUACAAAGAUGCUUUGCUUUCAGCUAACGACUUAACAUGUCUCCCUAGUGCUGUUUGUGAUGUCUUGCAGGAAUUCGAGGAUGUUUUUCCGGAGAAAGUACCCGCUGGUCUACCUCCCUUGCGUGGCAUAGAACAUCAGAUUGACCUCAUUCCAGGAGCAUCACUUCCGAAUCGACCUCCCUAUUGCACCAAUCCUGAAGAAACAAAGGAGAUACAAAGGCAGGUACAAGAACUUUUAGAUAAAGGUUAUGUGCGUGAAAGCUUAAGUCCUUGUGCUGUACCUGUGAUUUUGGUGCCCAAGAAAGAUGACACAUGGCGAUUGGUAAUGGAUUAUAGGCCUAUCAAUAUUAUAACUAUUAGGUAUCGUAAUCCUAUUCCUAGGUUAGAUGAUAUGCUUGAUGAAUUGAGUGGCUCUACUAUUUUCUCUAAAAUUGAUUUGAGGAGUGGAUACCAUCAGAUUAGGAUGAAAGAAGGAGAUGAAUGGAAAACUGCUUUCAAAACAAAAUUUGGGUUUUAUGAGUGGUUAGUCGUGCCUUUUGGAUUAAUUAAUGCACCAAGUACAUUCAUGAGAUUGAUGAACCAUGUUUUGAGAGCUUACAUUGGCAAAUUUGUUGUUGUGUACUUUGAUGACAUCCUAAUCUAUAGCAGAUCCAUUGAGGAACAUAUUGAACAUCUAAAACAAGUGCUGAAUGUGCUAAGGACAGAACAACUAUAUGCUAACGUUGAGAAGUGCUCCUUUUGCACAAACAAGGUUGUUUUUCUUGGCUAUGUCGUUUCAGGACAGGGAAUUGAAGUGGAUGAAUCUAAGGUGGAAGCAAUCAAGAAUUGGCCAACUCCAAUGAAUGUAAGCCAGGUGAGAAGUUUUCAUGGCCUUGCUGGUUUCUACAGGAGGUUUGUGAAAUAUUUUAGUACAAUUGCUGCACCUUUGAAUGAAUUUACAAAGAAAGGAAUUCCCUUUAAAUGGGGUGCACCACAAGAAGAAGCAUUUCUUGAUCUUAAGAAACAAUUAACUGAAGCACCUUUGCUGAUUCUACCUGAUUUCACUAAAACUUUUGAGAUAGAAUGUGAUGCUAGUGGAAUAGGUAUUGGAGGUGUGUUAAUGCAAGAACGAAAACCAAUAGCAUAUUUUAGUGAGAAGCUGAGUGGUGCACAACUGAAUUAUUCUGUUUAUGAUGAAGAGUUGUAUGCCUUGGUUAGAGUGCUUGAAACUUGGCAACACUACUUAUGGCCUAAAGAGUUUAUCGUACAUUCUGAUCAUGAGGCAUCGAAACAUUUGAAAGGCCAAGCUAAACUGAAUCGUAGGCAUGCUAAAUGGGUAGAAUUCAUUGAAACUUUCCCAUAUGUUGUGAAGUAUAAGAAAGGAAAGGAAAACAUGGUUGCUGAUGCUUUGUCCCGUGGGCAUGUUCUUUUGACACAAUUAGAAGUGAAGGUACCAGGACUUGAGAGCUUAAAAGAACUGUAUUGCACUGAUCAUAUAUUUUCAGAACCAUAUGCAAAAUGUAAAGAUGGGAAAGGUUGGGAUAAAUACCAUGUGCAUGAUGGGUUCCUUUUUAGGGCUAACAAGUUGUGUUUUCCAGAUUCGUCGGUUAGGCCUUUGUUGUUUCAUGAAUCACAUGCAGGAGGAUUAAUGGGACACUUUGGUCGUUAGAAGACUUAUGAGUUGUUGGCCGAUCAAUUUUAUUGGCCAAAGAUGAGGAAGGACGUUGAGAGAUUUGUGCAGCGAUGCAUCAUAUGCCACAAAGCUAAGUCUAAACUGACCCCCCAUGGUUUAUAUACUCCCCUACCUGUUCCAAAUGCUCCUUGGGAAGAUAUUAGCAUGGAUUUUGUUUUAGGACUUCCUAGGACUAAGAGGGGGAGGGAUUCAGUUUUUGUUGUGGUUGAUAGGUUCUCAGUAAUGGCACACUUCAUUCCCUGCCACAAGAACGACGAUGCUUCACAUGUUGCUGAAUUGUUUUUCAGGGAAGUUGUUCGCUUGCAUGGAAUGCCAAGGACUAUUGUUUCAGAUCGAGAUGUGAAGUUCAUGAGCUACUUUUAGAAAACAUUGUGGGAAAAAUUAGGAACCAAGCUGAUGUUUUCAACAACGUGUCACCCCCAAACUGAUGGGUAAAACCGAGGUAGUGAACCGCACACUCUCAGCAUUGCUGCGUACAAUGAUCAAGAAGAAUUUGAAGGAGAGGGAAGAGUGUUUGCCGCAUGUGGAGUUUGCUUACAAUCGGGCAGUUCACUCUACCACAAACAUGUGCUCGUUUGAGGUGGUAUAUGGAUUCAAACCACUUGCACCAAUUGACUUGCUGCCACUUCCAUUGCAAGAGAGAUGUAACAUGGAGGCUUCAAAGUGUGCUGCAUCUGUGAAGAAAAUUCAUGAGAAGACCAGAGAAGAGAUAGAAAGGAAGUCCAAGUACUAUGCUGCUAAGGCAAACAAAAAUCGCAAGAAGGUGAUUUUUGAGCCCAAAGAUCUGGUUUGGAUACAUUUGCGCAAAGAUCGGUUCCCAGAGAAGCGCAAAUCCAAGCUAAUGCCUCGUGGAGAUGGACCAUUCAAAGUCUUGGCCAAGAUCAAUGGCAAUGGCAAUGCUUACAAGAUCGAGCUUCCUGAAGACUAUGAUGUGAGUCCAACAUUCAAUGUUGCUGAUUUGUCUCCAUGCUUCGAUCAAGAGGGUCAAGAGUCGAGGACGACUCCUUUUGAAGAGGGGGAGGAUGAUGAGGACAUCCCAGGUUCACCUCGUUUAUCAUCUUCUCCUGAUGAUAAAUCUCAGCCAUCAAGUGAAGCUUCUACAAAGAAGAUCUAAUUGGGUCCCCUGACAAGGAGUCAUGCCAAACAAAUAGCACAAGAGGUGAACGCGCUCCUAGCUUAUCAUAAUUCUAGUGACCAUGAGAACUUUAUACUGCCUAAAUCUCGUGCACUGAUUUUACUUAGGUACAAUGUUAAGGAUAACCAACAACAUUCAGCGCAUGAAGAAACAAGUUUUGGAGCACAUACAACAAGUUUGAAGAGAACAAGUUUCAACUCUGAAGAAAGCCUUGUUUUGGUGACAAGGACGACUAGUUACACCACAAGGAAGAAUAUCAAGCCAUCUCAACACUCUAUUGUUGCAUGUGCAGUUCCAGAAUUCAUCCCAGAACUUCCUGAAUCAUGCAAUGCAAAUAUAUGAGCAUCCAGUAUGUGUGGGAAUACAAAAUGGAGAGCAUAUGAAGUCUGCUUUCAGGAAAAUCAAACGAUGCAUCAUUUGGAGUCCUGAGUCAAAGAAUAUGAGAGUUCCAAUGCAAGUUGUCCAGGGCAUUAACUAUUGCGCGAGGCUCCAUGAGUUUACUCCCUUGACCAGCUGGUUAGCACGAAUUUGAACCCCUCUUUUGGCCUGGUUUCACACCUAAACUAGGAGGGUUGUUCCUAGUAUAAAUACCCCUUCCCCC